UACGUAGGUGGCGAGCGUUAUCCGGAUUUACUGGGUGUAAAGGGCGUGUAGGCGGCUCUGCAAGUCAGAUGUGAAAUUUCCGGGCUUAACCCGGACGGGUCAUCUGAAACUGCAGGACUUGAGUACUGGAGAGGAUAGCGGAAUUCCUAGUGUAGCGGUAAAAUGCGUAGAUAUUAGGAGGAACACCGGUGGCGAAGGCGGCUAUCUGGACAGUAACUGACGCUGAGGCGCGAAAGCGCGGGGAGCAAACAGGAUUAGAUACCCUGGUAGU
rnacentral:rRNA from 1 species